CCCUUAGACGUUCUGGGCCGCACGCGCGCUACACUGAACAGUUCAACAAGUCUUAACCUUGGCCGAUAGGUCUGGGUAAUCUUUGAACGCUGUUCGUGAUUGGGAUAGACCUUUGCAAUUAUGGGUCUUCAACGAGGAAUUCCUAGUAAACGCAAGUCAUCAGCUUGCAUUGAUUACGUCCCUGCCCUUUGUACACACCGCCCGUCGCACCUACCGAUUGAAUGGUCCGGUGAAAUCUCGGGACGGCGGCUCGGUCGCUUGCGUCCGACUGCUGAAACUUGAUUAAACCAUAUCAUUUAGAGGAAGGUGAAGUCGUANCA
rnacentral:rRNA from 1 species